GAGCUUUACAAUAGAACGACAUCAAUGAGAUUUUGGGUCCUAAGUCUUCUUGUAUCUCUUUCAAGGAUUCGCUUGUAGGUGCUUUGGGUACAUGGUUUCCAAGAAGAAAUACAUCUAUAUAUACCAUUGAUGAUGACUGCUUUGAAAGAUGUGCAGGUGCUGAUACUGUAGCUCUUGUAGCUGGGAUAUUGCAUAGAUCUAGAACUAAUCUCCAAGCAUUGCUAUUAAAGAGUAAUACAGUUGUAGUUGAAGAUUUCUUUGUGCACCUGAUUUAGGACUAAGACAACCAAGGUUAGAAGGGGAAGAAUAUUUAUCAAUUAUUGAUGAGUUCAUUGAGGCGAUUUUAACACGUUAGCCUGAUGCUAUUGUACAGGUUUCUCUCUUUCAGAAGUGAGACUUUUGUUUUAUGCUGAUACCAUGAUGUUUAUUUGAUGGUUACCCCAUUUAGUUUGAGGAUUUUCAAAUGAAGUGGGCCUUUA